rnacentral:rRNA from 1 species
AUUGAACGCUGGCGGCAUGCCUUACUCAUGCAAGUCGAACGGUAACGCGGGGCAACCUGGCGACGAGUGGCGAACGGGUGAGUAAUGCAUCGGAACGUGCCCAGUAGUGGGGGAUAGCCCGGCGAAAGCCGGAUUAAUACCGCAUACGACCUACGGGUGAAAGCGGGGGACUCGCAAGGGCCUCGCGCUAUUGGAGCGGCCGAUGUCAGAUUAGCUAGUUGGUGGGGUAAAGGCCUACCAAGGCGACGAUCUGUAGCUGGUCUGAGAGGACGACCAGCCACACUGGGACUGAGACACGGCCCAGACUCCUACGGGAGGCAGCAGUGGGGAAUUUUGGACAAUGGGCGCAAGCCUGAUCCAGCCAUGCCGCGUGCGGGAAGAAGGCCUUCGGGUUGUAAACCGCUUUUGUCAGGGAAGAAACGCUCCGGGUUAAUACCUCGGGGUAAUGACGGUACCUGAAGAAUAAGCACCGGCUAACUACGUGCCAGCCGCCGCAGUAAUAC